AUGAGUGACACCUAGCAGCAUAUCAUGGUUACCCAAGCUAAUCAGAAGAGGUGGAGAACCUAUUUAGUUUAGGAUUACAAAUGCAAUACGGUCUUUCUCUAAUACAAUACUCUUGACCACAUUAUUUGGUUUGAUAGUUUAUUUAUUCAUGUCCACUAUCCAAUGUGAUUCGUGUACUUAUAUGAUUACCUUGAAUGUGAUUUGGAACGACUUCCUAAAUCUCAUUCAUACUCUGGCCAGAGGUUCUAAAUCAUAUCAUAGAGUAUUCUCCCUCAAACGGUUUGAAGGUUAGAGAUCCCUUGUUGUGCAUUCACUUGUCUCCAUGGCUAAGUGGCUUAACCCCAACGAUGCCGUGGACACCCUCCAAAUGGAGUGACUUUGACAUAAUCAAAGAUCAAGGACUUAACCACAAGACAACUAUGAUGCCUCAGGUCAAAGGACUACUUUGCAUUAUCCCAACCAUGAGUUCUCAUGUGACAUGAAUAUGAGAACUCUUCGUUGAUCGUGUUCAGUGAACUCAUUCUCUAUUGAGCACCUACGUACUUGUCUUGAUGUCACACACACCAAUGACUCGAGACUAGUCACUCUCCCUGAGAGAAGACACACCACAUACUGAUCUUAACGGACUGUCAAUGCCCAAUUGGCAAUCCUAUGAUCAGGAACGUUUAGGAUGUGUCUACGAAAGAAUGGUCUCAUGAAUCUAACUUCUUUAGAUCGCAUUCUCCCAAUCACAUAUUCCUUAAACUUAUCGUUUAAGCAUAUAACAUUUAUAUGAGACGGCUCAAACAAUAAUCUUUGCCCUUGAUAUUAAACUAGAUUAGUUUAACAUGUGAAAUGUCCGUAAAGUAUCAUCAUAUGAUUGGUUUUAGGGCACAUUUCCAACAUAUGGAAAUUCUCCUAGUCAAGUCUAGGAUUUAAUAAAUUUUUGGGAAGGCUAUGGAUGGUAAGUAUAUCAUCCAAAACCAUAAAACAAUUUAUGAACACAAAACAAAACCAUUUUCACCAAAAACAAAACCAUGAACACCAAGAACAAAACCAUGAACACAAUUUCAAGAUUUGUACAUUCUUGGUGAUAUUUCAAACCCAAAAACAAAAGUGACAAGAACUAGAUUUUCUAGCUUUAAAAAGAUGUGUGAGUGUCUUACAAUAAAACACAAACACAAGCCAAAACCUCCCCCCAAAACCGUGCCCUCCCUUAUGGUACUUUAGCCCCAAAUUUUGUUCCAAAACUCAUUCUUCAUUCAUGUAUCCAAAACACUUUUUGCAUACAUAUCUUUUUCAACUCUUGAUUCACAUUUUUCAACACUUGAAAAAAAAAAAGAUAAACAUACUUUGAAUGAAGAAAUAAUAUGUCAAACAUAAAAUUAAAACCCAUAUGCAUAAAAUCCAAAAGGACACAUAAAAUAUAAACCUUUGGCUCUUGCUACCACUUGAAGGGAAAUAAUGAGAUUCAUGUGGGAUUUCUAGUGACUAGCAUGCAUAUACAAUUCAAAAUUUAUAUACAUAAGCAACGGAAGCAUGUUAUCACAUAAUAUCAAAGCUAUAGUCAUGCAAAUCCCCUUCAAGAAGCAUAGGUUUAUAUAAGAUGCAUCAAAACAUUUUAUUGAAGAACAAAGUGAAGGUAUAGUUUUAUACCUCUUGAUCUAGACUUGAGACCAAGGAUGGACCACCUCCAAGUUCUUUGCUCUUGGAACUCCUUGAGCCUAGCCUCCCUCCUUACCUCCUCCACUUUGUUAGAAUGAGUGCUCCUUGGUUCUGCUUUAGUCUCCAAGAUUGAAGACCUCUAAAGAUCCACACCCACUAGUGUAGUGAGAUGGAUGGAGGAAUAACCAAAGGGUGAGAAGAUGAUAAGCUAAACCCCCUUUGGUGGCCGGCCUUGUGUGUGGUUUUUGAGAGAGAGAGGUUUUCUUCUUUUGUGAAAAAUCAACACACAAAACCCUAAUAAAUUUUUUCACUAUAAAGUUCCUUUUAUAACACAAAGAAACAAGUCAACAACUUGAAUUCCUCUCUCUCCCUUUCCCUUUAUUUGGCCGGCCCCCUUUAGUGUUGUUUGGGCUUUGGGCUUUUAUUAUUUCAAGUCAUCCUAUGCUUAAAUAAAAGCCCAAUGGGUUUGGGCUUAAUGGGCCCAUAUUAACCCGAACUUUUCUUUAAGCCCAAAACGAUCUUUUAUCGCUUUUAUGAUUUCUUUAGACUUUCUAAUUAAUCACAACACUUAAUUAAUCCAAUUAAUUAUUUCCAUCAUCCAUUAGUUGUCUCACUACAAGAGUGUAUCGGUGUACAAUCAUUUUAGGUUCUAAUUAGCAAGGCAGUGAGGUGAUUGGCACCAAUCCAAUUGAUUAUAUUUAAUCCAAUCACUUAGUGAAUUAAAACUUACUUUUAAUUCUCUUUCUUCUUUGACGACUACUUAUUUAAUCAUCUAGAAGAACUCACAAGCCAUGAGUGACAUCUAACCAUAUAUCAUGGCUACCCAAGCUAAUGUAGAAUUUGUUCGGAGAACCUAUUCAGUUGGAAUUACAAUGUAAUUCGAUCCUUCUCUAAUACAAUACUCUCAAUCACAUUAUUAGGGUAUGGAUAUAUUAUGUCAAACCCCUAAUGUGAUUAUUCCAUGUUAUAUGAUUCAAUUGAGUCGUAUAGGAACGCUUUCCUUUAUUACGCUCGAUACUUCAGCCGAAGAUUUCCGAAUCAUAUCUUAGAGUAUUCUUCCUCUCAUAACGAGGAUUAAAGAUCCCUUGUUGCGCAUUUACUUGCCUCCAUGGCUAAGUGGCUUAACCCCAACUAUGUCGUGGACACCCGCGAAUGGAGUGACUUUGACAUAAUCAAAGAUCAAGGACCUAACCACAAGACAACUAUGAUGCCUCAGGUCAAAAGACUACUCAUAUUAUUCCAACCAUCAGAGUUACUUGCUUGACAUGUGAGUAGACCUCCAUGCAAGUACUCUCGUUCGAUUGUUCAGUGAACUCAUUCCCUUAAUGAGCACCUACAUACCUGUCUUAGUGUCACUACACGAAUGAGAUGAGACUUUCCAUCCUUCCAAUUGAAGGGGACAUAGUAUGUACUGGUCUUUGCAUUGUCAGUGUCCCUCUGACAAUCAUAUGACCAGGAACCUUUUUGGACAUGAUGGUUAUGUGAAGAAUGUCUCUGUAGUCUAACAUCAUUAAAUUACUUCUUCCAUCGAUCCAUUGUCCAUGGAUUCAUUAUUUAGGACAUAUAUCGUUUAUUGAGAUAGUCCUAAUUAGUAUCUUUGCCUUUUGUUGUAUAAGAGUCAUCUAAACACACAUUCAUUGUCCUGAAAGGUUUCCUCCAAAUAUUGACUUUCAGGGCAUAUUUCCAACAGUGUAAUAAGUGUACUUUAGCUAAUUUGACCAUCUUAUUGUAGUCGUACUGUUUAUUGUGCUCUGAAUAAUUGUAGUGGGUUCUUCCCACAAUUGCACACUCUUUCACUGUUUAAUUUAAAUUAGUUCUAGUUUAGUUUUAAUUAAUUCAGUUUUUCACAUCACUUACGCUUAUGGUUACAUCACCUCACGAUGACAUCCAGCAUGCUUCGACCUUCAUCGGUCGGGGUGUGUCAUUGUUGGUGUGGCUGUAAAGGUGAAAAAAGGUGAAAAUAGUUAAACAAUGUAUUCCAAAAUUUCACAAAACUCGAAUAUAAAUAUUUUUUUCUCCACAAUGAGGCAUCUUUAGAGAACAAAAUACAAGCCUAAUUGAAUAAGUAAACCUAAUUCCUCGAGAACAAUGAAAGUUACAAAUUACUUUCUCCUAAAAGUAGGAAAAUAAAAUUAUGGUCUUAGUAUCCACACACUCCUUUUUAUCUUUCACACCCGUAGUUAAUUUUUGUCCUUUGAUCAUCUUUAAUUCAUUCGAUCCGACGGCCGAAAAUCGAGAAGGAUGUGUGGAAGGUAAAAUAGGGUAUGUGGGUAGCAUAGCACCACCCUAAAAUAAAAUCUCAAAAAUUUACCAAUCUCAAAUACUUUCUUUUUUUUAAUCUCCAACAAAAAUAAUUUAACCGGGCCUUGAAACCUAUUGUCCAUCCUUGUGGACCAUGUAGAUUGUGCUGCUAACACUCUUUAAUCAGAAAAAAUUCUCUUGAAACAAAUAAAUAUUCCUAGUGACGUACUGGUCCACUAAAUGUUUGUCAUGUGGCAUUAGCGGUUGCAUGUGCGUGUCUCUCUUAAAUCAGAAUCCCUAUAUAUUUUCAAUAUCUUGGCCUCUUUAAUCAGAAAAAAUUCUUUUGAAACAAAUAAAUAUUCCUAGUGACGUAUUGGACCACUGAAUGUUUGUCAUGUGGCAUUAGCGGUUGCAUGUGCGUGUCUCUCUUAAAUCAAAAUCCCUUUAUAUUUUCAAUAUCUUGGCCCAUCUAUAUAAAAUAAAAUAAAAAAUCAAAUGCAGCUAAUCACACACAAGACCAACUCCUAUUCUAAUCAUACACCUUCCGUGAUAAGUCGCGUCUCACGCAAACAAAUGAAUCAAAUUUCCAACCAAAAUACAAAGAGCAAUAGAAAAAAUUAAAUAUGAAAUUGUGGCAUCUAAGUUUCUCUUAAAUAUAAAGUUUCUUACCACUCAAACUAUAAGUUUCAUCUUUCCAUUUAGCUCACAUGUCAUAUACAAAAAUUACACACAAAGUGUAAUCUCUUUAGCAUUACUUUUUGAUAUUAUACUUUGUGGUAUAUAUAAAUACAAUAAAACCUCUACCAAUUAAUAAUGUUGGGACUAAGGAAAAUUAUUAUUUUAGAGAGGUUAUUAUUAUAUAGAUAAAAGAAUAAUUUAGUACUUUAUCGAUAACUCAACAUUUAUUAAUUUAUAAAGAAUUUUACGUUUUGUUAUUACUAGAAACUGCCAUAUGGUCGACAAACCAAAUUUUAUCGGACAAAGUAACUUUAUCCAAUGGAAUGAAAAUUUUGAUUAGGUAAAAGUGGUCAACAUUUUUUUUUUUUUUUUUAAA
rnacentral:lncRNA from 1 species